CCGAGUUAUUACAACUCCCCAACCCCUGUGAACAUACCUCUUGUUGCCUCGGCGGAACGCCCCGGCGCCCUCGCGGCCCGGACCCAGGCGCCCGCCGGAGGACCUACAAACUCUUGCAUUAUAUGGAUCUUCUGAGUCUUAUAAACAAAUAAAUCA
rnacentral:misc_RNA from 1 species